rnacentral:tRNA from 1 species
GCUGGCGUAGCUCAGUUGGUAGAGCUACUGAUUUGUAAUCAGUGGGUCGCGGGUUCGAAUCCUGUCGCCAGCUCCA